rnacentral:rRNA from 1 species
UACAGAGGUCUCAAGCGUUGUUCGGAUUCAUUGGGCGUAAAGGGUGCGUAGGUGGCGCUGUAAGUCAGGUGUGAAAUUUCGGAGCUUAACUCCGAAACUGCAUUUGAUACUGCGGUGCUUGAGGACUGGAGAGGAGACUGGAAUUUACGGUGUAGCAGUGAAAUGCGUAGAGAUCGUAAGGAAGACCAGUGGCGAAGGCGAGUUUCUGGACAGUAACUGACGCUGAGGCACGAAGGCCAGGGGAGCAAACGGG